GGAUAAUCUACCCUUAGGACCGGGAUAACCUUGGGAAACUGAGGAUAAUACUGGAUAGGCAAUUAUUCCUGUAAUGGUUUUUUGUUUAAAUGUUUUUUCGCCUAAGGAUGAGUCUGCGGCCGAUUAGGUAGUUGGUUAGGUAAUGGCUUACCAAGCCGUUGAUCGGUACGGGUUGUGAGAGCAAGAGCCCGGAGAUGGAACCUGAGACAAGGUUCCAGGCCCUACGGGGUGCAGCAGGCGCGAAACCUCCGCAAUGUGAGAAAUCGCGACGGGGGGAUCCCAAGUGCCAUUCUUAACGGGAUGGCUUUUCAUUAGUGUAAAGAGCUUUUGGAAUAAGAGCUGGGCAAGACCGGUGCCAGCCGCCGCGGUAACACCGGCAGCUCUAGUGGUAACAAUUUUUAUUGGGCCUAAAGCGUCCGUAGCCGGUUUAAUAAGUCUCUGGUGAAAUCCUGUAGCUUAACUGUGGGAAUUGCUGGAGAUACUAUUAGACUUGAGACCGGGAGAGGUUAGAGGUACUCCCAGGGUAGAGGUGAAAUUCUGUAAUCCUGGGAGGACCGCCUGUUGCGAAGGCGUCUAACUGGAACGGUUCUGACGGUGAGGGACGAAAGUUAGGGGCGCGAACCGGAUUAGAUACCCGGGUAGUCCUAACUGUAAACGAUGCGGACUUGGUGUUGGGGUGGCUUUGAGCUGCUCCAGUGCC
rnacentral:rRNA from 1 species